rnacentral:ribozyme from 1 species
AGGGAAAAAAAUCUGUAAACAUGAACAUUUGUGUGUUGGUAUUUCUUCGGCUGAUUUGCUUGUUUUUUUUUUUGUUUUUUUUUGUUCGAAAUG